CAAAAGAGUGGGAAGAGCUUUGAGUAGAGGUGACAAAUCUACCGAGCGCAGUUAUAGCUGGUUGCCUGAGAAAUGAAUAAAGUUCAGCCCUUUAAGUCUUUCCCCAAUCACCCACGCUCUAUGCCAUUAAGACUAAGGAAACUAAAGGAGUUAGUCAAAAGGGGAACAGCCCUUUUGACAAAAGAAACAACUUUAAUAGGUGACCCAAGAUCAUAUUAUAAAAGGACUGUAGAUUAAGUGGGCUUAAGAGCAGCCAUCUUAAAAGAAAGCGUUAUACCUCGAAUUAAUUACUACCCCUUUAUUCUGAUAACAUAUCUCCCUCCCUAAUCCCCUAUCAGGCUGUCUUAUGCCUCCAUAAGAACAAUUAUGCUAAAAUGAGUAAUAAGAAGAACUAUGCUCUUCUCCCAGCACAUGUGUAAGUCAGAACGGACUCUCCACCGACUAUUAACCGACCCCAAACCCAGAGGGUAAUAAGUUUAAUAAACAAGAAAAACACUUAUUUUAAAUCGUUAACCCAACACAGGUGUGCCUUAAGGAAAGACUAAAAGAGAAGGAAGGAACUCGGCAAACACAAGCCUCGCCUGUUUACCAAAAACAUCGCCUCUUGCUCACUAAGUAUAAGAGGUCCCGCCUGCCCAGUGACUACAUGUUUAACGGCCGCAGUAUUUUAACCGCGCGAAGGUAGCGUAAUCACCUGUUUUUUAAAUGAAGACCUGUAUGAAUGGCUCAACGAGGGCUUAACUGUCUCCCUCCUCCAGUCAAUGAAAUUGACCUCCCCGUGCAGAGGCGGGGAUAUUUACAUAAGACGAGAAGACCCUGUGGAGCUUUAGACCUAAAAUAAGUCACGUUUAACAUUCUGUAAUAUCAGUAAAAACUCAGCGACGAUUAUUGAAGUGUCUUCGGUUGGGGCGACCCUGGGGAAAAACACAACCCCCAUGUGGACUGGGAAUACUAUUCCUAACACUCAGAGCCUCUACUCCAAGUAACAGAAAUUCUGACCUUUCUGAUCCGGUAAUAACCGAUCAACGAAUCAAGUUACCCCAGGGAUAACAGCGCAAUCCCCUCUAAGAGCCCUUAUCGACGAGGGGGUUU
rnacentral:rRNA from 1 species